rnacentral:lncRNA from 1 species
ACACUAUCCAAUAUGGUAACCACUAGCCACUUGUGACUACUGAGUGUCUGAAAGGUUCUGCUUGAAUUCUUGCCCUGGCUCUUGGUGAAGGAUCGGCCUGCUGGAUCUGAGUCAUCCACCUAUAAGAGGGACAACACCACACAUUGGUCGCUGCUCUCAAGCCCCUGGAAUACCACCCCACUUGGCUUCUCCUGGGAGCCAGCUGCCAUGUCAUGCAGACACUCAAGCAGCCCUAUGGAGAAGCCACAUGGAGAGGGGCUGAGGCCUGUUUCCCACAGCCAUGUGAGUGGGCCAUUCCGGAAGCAGAUCAUCCAGCCCUCGCCAAGCUGACAGACGACUGCAUCCCCAGCCAACAUCUAGACUGGAGCCUCACGAGAGACCAACCCGGAGACCCCACCCAGCUAAGCCACUCCAGAAUCCCUGACCCCAAACAUUGUGACAUGAUAAAAAUGUGUUGUUUAAGCUUUUAA